rnacentral:lncRNA from 1 species
UUCACUCUGGACAGACGGCACAAGCCCCUGGGAAGCACCCAGCCUUCUCUGCACCUGUGUAAUGGUAAACAAAAGGCCUGACUUCUGAGCAGCGAUUUUCAAUUAACAAUGCAUCAGAUUUCACUCUAUCCCAGCACCCCACUGAAACCUCCAGUGCAGAUAUUUUAAUAAAAUAAGACACACAAGAAUAGGGAAAAUGAGAGACAAAAACCAACAAACAAAAACAUGGGAGCAGAAGAAGAAAUUGAUUAUGUGAUAGCUGGCUUUAAAACCUGAGAAGACCAAAUCUUGACCUUGCAGUGAGAAUACAGAGGAUUCUUCAAACAAGCCAGGAAUUUUUGACCUUGCAGUGAGAAUACAGAGGAUUCUUCAAACAAGGCAGGAAUGCCCAUUCGACUUUCCCCAAUGGCUCUGCAUAAGAGGAACCAACAGAGAUCCUUUCCUGAGACCUAAGGAGGCAAAAGCUAGGUGGCAACCAAAGAUUUCAGAGGAGGAAGCAGGUAUGGUGCAGAGGAGAGCUGGCUGUGCUGAAGGGGCCAGACACAGGGGCCACCGGAAUAGAAGCUUCUCAAAGGUGGCAAAGAUGCUUUUUAUGCUUGUUGCCACCACCCAGAAUGAUGUUAACCAUGAGGGAAGCGUCUGGCAGCACACUCAAUGUCCAAUGCCCACUGGGCUGACCCAGAAGCAAAUUUUGUGUCAGCUCCUCCAGCCCACCAUGGAUCAUCCUGGGAGCUGUCUUCAGAUGGUAAUUAUUCUCAGCUGAAGCCAUGGCCCCAUUAAAGACAGAACACUGGAGAUGAAAAGUCCCAGAUUCCAUUAGCAGUCUCUACUUCAGACAUGAACUAUGGGACUUGAUGCCUCUGAUGUGUCUCUUCAUGUUGCUUCCACAGGCUUAAUGAUGCCUUUAGCAUCUCUCACCUGAAAGUAUCGCUCAUUAUGUCACUGAGAUGCACGGCCAUAUUUCAGUUAAUUAAGUUCAUUUGCUAGUUUAUAAAGGAAACACAAUUAAUAAAAUAAGUCAAGCAUGUCUUACUUUUUUCAGGUCAACAUUGAAAUGAGAACUAUUUUGACUAAUCUGCUCGGAAUAAAAUGAGAAAAACAGUUCAUGCUGAACUACUCAUAUGUGGAGGUGAUGAACAUAUGUUUCUAAUUUUGAGCUGAGAGAAAAGCAAAAAUAAACAAAUUUAACAAAUCUUAGUUCUUGACAACCACUCACAGAAUAGUUCAGCUAAGAAAUAAACAUAUGGUUCAGGGAAUAAAGAAACUGCCUGGCUCGGUGUGGAAAUGACACUUCUAGACUCAGAGUUUCAUGACUGCAGUGAGCUCAUUUCUUCUGUAAUUAGGGUCAAGACUUGAACUUUUCCUGUGGAUUUUCCCAUCAGAAGACUGGUGCCAUUUAUCCAUUUAGGUGAGCACUAUAAGGACAUUGCUUCAUAUCACGCUUCAAGAGUGAUGAGUUUCACAAGGAGAUUGCAUGUCUCCUCAGAGCUGGCCCGUCUGUAUGUGAUCAGGUGGGAGAAUUUGCUUCAGUAAGUGGAGUGUGAUGGGACAGGGGUGUUAAGUGCCCCCUGAGGAAGUGUUGGCUCUAAGAAGAGAAGAAGUUUGGCCAUGAUGAUGCUUGGCCUCUUUUCCAGCCAUGUCUCAGUCAACCCUAGCUGCUGGGAAAAUUAUCACCGACUGGUAAACAGCAAACAUUUAUUUCUCGCAGUUCCGGAGACUGGAAGUCUGAGAUCAGAGUGCCAGCGUGGUCAGCUUCUGGUGAAGCCCCUCUUGUGCCCCACAUGGCAGUGAGAAAGUGAGCUGGCUCCAGGUCCUCUUUUCGUAAGGGCACUCAUCCACUUAUGAGGCUCCACUCUCAUGACCUAAUUACCUCCCAAAGGCCCCACCUCCAAGUAUGAUCACAUGGGGGACUCGAUUUCAACAUAUGAGUUUUGGGGGACACAAACUUUUAGUCUGCAACAAGACAGGAUUGUCUUACUAUGAUCAGACUGUGGGUGAUUUACUUCGUUUCUUGACACAUCUGUUUUUAUUCUUAAGCCUGUAUACAUAGAUAGUACUUACUGUUUUACAAGAAUCCAGUUUUUCCUUGCAUGGUAAUUUAUUUUUAAAAGCACUGUUUUAAGGUUUCUGUGAUGAGCUAAAGGCAUCUAACUGAAUCCAGAAUAUACUGUCAACUUUAGUGUCUCAGGUCGUGUAUUGUGAAGGAAAAGGUGCCACACGCUUGACACUGGUCUUGGUGCAACCUCAAUCGCAACAUGUGAAUCCCAAGGGAGUUUCUUCCUCUCCAAAAGCCUCUGCUUCCCCAUCUUUUUUUUUUUUUUUUUCUGAGACAGAGUCUCGCUGUGUCACCCAGGCUGGAGUGCAGUGGCGCAAUCUCGUCUUGCUGCAACCUCCAUCUCCUAGGUUCAAGUGAUUCUCCUGCCUCAGCCUCCUGAGUAGAUGGGGUUACAGGUGCGUGCCACCAUGC